CGCCGUUCCACAAGGCCUCAACAACCAACCAACCCCUCUCAAACUAUUCUUCUGUAACGCUGAAGUUGCUCCGCCAAAGAGGAAGAAGCUGCACAGUUGACUGUAUCCUUAAUAUCUACUAUCACUUUCUUGUUUGAUUAGUCAUGCAAAGUAGGCACCUGGAAUUUACGAAUUGAUUUUGACCUGUGCAAAUUUUAUUGGCAUUGCAUAGCUUUAAUGGUGCAAGUUAUAUCAUCAAUAUCGCGGAAUUGAAGCCUGAACUCUGAACUUUACACACUUGUUCAUGUUAUUUAUUUCGAUAUGUUUUCUGUAUAAACAUGCAACACUUGUCAUUCAAAAGUCCAACAUAAACAACAUUCAAUCUCAUUGUAUUUUGAAAAAAUGUACGGAAGAUGUUAAGGUCAGUUAACAUCGUCAUUGCUUAUCUUUCCUUAAAUGACUUAUGGACUUGUUAAGCUUUAUUGACUAUUA